rnacentral:rRNA from 1 species
GUGGGGAAUCUUGCGCAAUGGGCGAAAGCCUGACGCAGCCAUGCCGCGUGAAUGAUGAAGGUCUUAGGAUUGUAAAAUUCUUUCACCGGGGACGAUAAUGACGGUACCCGGAGAAGAAGCUCCGGCUAACUUCGUGCCAGCAGCCGCGGUAAUACGAAGGGGGCUAGCGUUGCUCGGAAUUACUUGGCGUAAAGGGCGCGUAGGCGGACAGCUUAGUCAGAGGUGAAAGCCCAGGGCUCAACCUUGGAAUUGCCUUUGAUACUGGCUGUCUUGAGUUUGGGAGAGGUGAGUGGAACUCCGAGUGUAGAGGUGAAAUUCGUAGAUAUUCGGAAGAACACCAGUGGCGAAGGCGACUCACUGGCCCAAUACUGACGCUGAGGCGCGAAAGCGUGGGGAGCAAACAGGAUUAGAAACCCGGGUAGUCC